GGAUGCGAUCAUACCAGCACUAAAGCACCGGAUCCCAUCAGAACUUCAAAGUUAAGCGUGCUUGGGCGAGAGUAGUACUAGGAUGGGUGACCUCCUGGGAAGUCCUCGUGUUGCAUCCC
rnacentral:rRNA from 1 species